rnacentral:rRNA from 1 species
CUUCGGUGAUGGAUUAGCGGCGAACGGGUGAGGAACACGUGAAGAAUCUGCCUUCAACUCUGGGAUAACUCCGGGAAACCGGGGCUAAUACCGGAUAUGAGCCUUGAUCGCAUGAUCGGGGCUGGAAAGUUUUUCGGUUGAAGAUGACUUCGCGGCCUAUCAGCUUGUUGGUGAGGUAAUGGCUCACCAAGGCGACGACGGGUAGCCGGCCUGAGAGGGCGACCGGCCACACUGGGACUGAGACACGGCCCAGACUCCUACGGGAGGCAGCAGUGGGGAAUAUUGGGCAAUGGACGAAAGUCUGACCCAGCGACGCCGCGUGCGGGAUGAAGGCCUUCGGGUUGUAAACCGCUUUCAGCAGGGAAUAAGCGCAAGUGAAGGUACCUGCAGAAGAAGCACCGGCUAACUAUGUGCCAGCAGCCGCGGUAAUACAUAGGGUGCAAGCGUUGUCCGGAAUUAUUGGGCGUAAAGAGCUCGUAGGUGGUUUGUUACGUCGGUUGUGAAAUUCAGGGGCUCAA